rnacentral:rRNA from 1 species
AAAUGAAUAGACGGGCACCCGCACAAGCGGUGGAGCAUGCUGUUUAAUUCGAAGAUACGCGAAGAACCUUACCUAGACUUGACAUCCCGGGCAAAGCUAUAGAAAUAUAGUGGAGGUUACCCCGGUGACAGGUGGUGCAUGGUUGUCGUCAGCUCGUGUCGUGAGAUGUUCGGUUAAGUCCGAUAACGAGCGCAACCCUUAUCGUUAGUUACUAACAUUUAGUUGAGAACUCUAGCGAGACUGCCGAUGAUAAAUCGGAGGAAGGUGGGGAUGACGUCAAAUCAUCAUGCCCCUUACGUCUAGGGCCACAGGCGUGCUACAAUGGCCAGUACAAAAAGAAGCAAUACCGUGAGGUGGAGCUAAUCUCUAAAACUGGUCUCAGUUCGGAUCGGAGUCUGCAACUCGACUCCGUGAAGUUGGAAUCGCUAGUAAUCCUGAAUCAGAAUGUCAGGGUGAAUACGUUCCCGGGUGUUGUACACACCGCCCGU